AGUGAACGCUGGCGGUAGGCCUAACACAUGCGAGUCGAACGGCAGCACAGUAAGAGCUUGCUCUUACGGGUGGCGAGUGGCGGACGGGUGAGGAAUACAUCGGAAUCUACUUUUUCGUGGGGGAUAACGUAGGGAAACUUACGCUAAUACCGCAUACGACCUACGGGUGAAAGCAGGGGAUCUUCGGACCUUGCGCGAUUGAAUGAGCCGAUGUCGGAUUAGCUAGUUGGCGGGGUAAAGGCCCACCAAGGCGACGAUCCGUAGCUGGUCUGAGAGGAUGAUCAGCCACACUGGAACUGAGACACGGUCCAGACUCCUACGGGAGGCAGCAGUGGGGAAUAUUGGACAAUGGGCGCAAGCCUGAUCCAGCCAUACCGCGUGGGUGGAGAAGGCCUUCGGGUUGUAAAGCCCUUUUGUUGGGAAAGAAAAGCAGCAGGUUAAUACCCCGCUGUUCUGACGGUACCCAAAGAAUAAGCACCGGCUAACUUCGUG
rnacentral:rRNA from 1 species